CCUUUCCCUAUUGCAGCA
rnacentral:misc_RNA from 1 species